GAACGUAGCAAAAUUCCGCGCGCGCCGGUUUCUAGGCUACCGGCUGAUGGUAUAUCGGUUUCGGGUUAUCUAUUUGAUGAUCUGACAAACAAGUUUCCCUGGUCUGAACGGUCUAGUAAUUUUCUGACUUCAAGCUCCGCGUCGUGCAACAAAGUAUCGGCUCGGCUAAGAUACGUAAUACGUUGCGUUCCUGGAAUCGUAGAAAAGAAGUAUGGAAUUCUGUGUCACAGGUGUAUAGGAGGCGACAUGCGUCGCGUGCACGAGGAAGAUAUUUCAUUCAAAGACACGUUUCGCAGAUAUAUUUUCUUCUUUUCUGUAUGGCUGCGUUGCGUGUAAAGAUACUUGCAUUGAACUUCGAAUUAUUUGAUAAUUUAUGGUUUGGUUGUUAUUUGAAUGUUAUUUUCUGUGUUUCUGCUGUUUGUGUUUGUGAUGCUUGCAGGCUAUUUUUUGGCAUUCUUAUGUUGUGGGUGUAGUUUGAUGUGUAAUGUAAAUCAGUAUAUUUAAAUGAAUUUUAUAAGAGAAAACUGUUAUGUACAGGUUCUGCGAUCGAAGGAUGUUUUGUGGGAUCGGAAACACUUGCAGCAGUUGGUAGUCUUGGGAAGUUAUUAGACGACGUCGCUCGCACAGCUCCAAUAAUGGGGUCACUUACUACAGCUGUUUUUAAUUUUGCGAUUCGCAAAAUGUCCAUGGAAUCGCUUUUUCCAGGUGUUUCGACGAGAACCGUUUUAUUCGGUGCGCAUUACAGCCGUUGAAACGCCAAGAUGCUCGACCGCUUUCACAGUCACUUAGUUCCUCAAGUAGAGUGGGAUGGAUAAGGAGGACAGAGAGGGUGGAAGGAAAAGGGCGAACAGGAGAGCACUUAAACACUCUGACAGUUAAAUUUAAACUGCCCUGUGUUGCGUGGACUAUCAUCCUCCAGUGUUGAUCUGUGUGAGCGCACGACAAACACGCACAACAGGUUCUAAGAGUCUUAUCCUGGAAUUUAUAGUAGAAUAUUUCAUUCGGAAUUCAUAAUUACAUGACAUUAUGUCAGGGGACACGGAUAAAAGGAUAAGGUGUGUUGCUACGGAAUUAACCGUAACACUGCAGAGUGUAAUUUUAGUAUCACCCACGCAAUCAAGCGUUUACAAUUUUCAAAAUUAAUUCUGUGACGCUAUUGUAUUAUUUCAGAGAAGGUUGAAAGUAAUGAGCUUUUAUGAAAAUGAAAAUAGUUUUGAAUUAGUGCUUAAAUACUGCGCUACAUUCAUUUCGUAAUUUGUGUGGUUUCAUUGAAAAAUUAUUAUUAACUGUGUAUUAAAACUAAUUCAGUGUUUGCAAAAGUAAUAUUCAAGAAAUCAUUUAGGUGUUCUCACAACGUUAUUUCAAAUCUUCUUGGAAACUUGGAAGAUGAUGGUAAAAAUUAUGUGUGUAAUAUGUCCUUUAAAAGAACUAACAUUUUUAACUUUUCACGGAUGAGGAUUUUUGAAAUGAUUAAAAACAUUUUCCAUAGAAAGAUAAAUUGUAUAUAAAAUACUUACAAAGUACAAAAGUAGAAAACCAUUUACAGAUUUUUUUGUUGCAGUAAUUGAAUUAGUUGUUUGUAAUUUUCAGUUCUAGGCACGAACGCUUGAUGUCGUCAAUGCGAAGAUGUUCGUCUACAAAGAGUUAACAAUA